AUGAGCCCGCGUAGGAUUAGGUAGUUGGUGGGGUAAAGGCCUACCAAGCCGACGAUCCUUAGCUGGUCUGAGAGGAUGAUCAGCCACACUGGCACUGAGACACGGCCCAGACUCUACGGGAGGCAGCAGUGGGGAAUAUUGGACAAUGGGGGGAACCCUGAUCCAGCAAUGCCGCGUGAGUGAUGAAGGCCUUAGGGUUGUAAAGCUCUUUUACCAGGGAUGAUAAUCA
rnacentral:rRNA from 1 species